GGGGGAUUGGCGCAGUUGGCUAGCGCGCUACACUGGCAGUGUAGAGGUCAUGGGUUCGAAUCCCAUAUUCUCCACAA
rnacentral:tRNA from 2 species